rnacentral:rRNA from 2 species
UACGGAGGAUGCAAGCGUUAUCCGGAUUUAUUGGGUUUAAAGGGUGCGUAGGCGGCACGCCAAGUCAGCGGUGAAAUUUCCGGGCUCAACCCGGACUGUGCCGUUGAAACUGGCGAGCUAGAGUACACAAGAGGCAGGCGGAAUGCGUGGUGUAGCGGUGAAAUGCAUAGAUAUCACGCAGAACCCCGAUUGCGAAGGCAGCCUGCUAGGGUGAAACAGACGCUGAGGCACGAAAGCGUGGGUAUCGAACAGG